ensembl:lncRNA
AGUUAGUCUAAAGUUGCAGAGAAGCUUAGACGUACACAUUGAAGCUGUGAAAAUAUUUAUCGUCCGAAUCGAGAUUUGUUGCAAAAAACAAUUACAAGUCAUGGAAAAACAUUCAGCAAUGGAUAUUCCAAGAAAUACUGAUGCCAGCAGGCCAACACAAAAGCAUAAAAAAACUCGUAAUAACAAACAAACCAAAGAGGUUGUGAGAAAACUCAAGUGUGAAAAGAAGAAGCAGAAGAAAAGACUGAGACUCCAGGAAACACUUGAGUCUCCAGAGCCUGCACCUACACAGACAUCUACCAGCACCCAGGACAACACCCCAGUGAGAGGACUGAAGAGAAAACGACAGGAAGACAAACAGGAAGAAGAAAUCAUUGAGCCAAAGAAGAGAAGGGUUUGUCUAAAAGCCCAUCAAAGCAGCAAAACCUUUUCUGAUCACCAAACCAGAUCAGUUAAGAGAAAGGCCAAGCCGGAACCGAAGAAAAAAAAUAAAAAAGUCAAACACUGUAAACCAACCGAGUCUCCAGAAACUGACAUCAGUCAGGACAACACCCCAGUGAGAGGACUAAAGAGGAAACGACUGGAAGACGAGGAGGAAGAAGAAAUCCUUGAGCCAAAGAAGAGGAAAACUGGUCUAAAAGCUCAUCAAAGCAGCAAAACCAUUUUUGAUGACCAAACCAGAUCAGUUGAGAGAAAGCCCAAACCGGAACCGAAGAAAAAAAAUAAAAAAGUCAAACACUGUAAACCAACCGAGUCUCCAGAAACUGACAUCAGUCAGAAGAACACCCCAGUGAGAGGACUAAAGAGGAAACGACUGGAAGACGAGGAGGAAGAAGCAACAGAGGAAUCAAAGAUAAUGAAGCUGUCUUUUAAGAGUUUCCACGAAUUGAGGGAUUUAUACAAUAAAAUGGGAACAAACAAAACAAGUGGACCGGAAAAGACCGUUUUAAAUAGUUCAGAAAAUGAAAACGAAUCAAACCAAGAAAUCCCAGAAAACACAAACAAAAUGACGGAGAGAGACAACGUGAUCGACCAAAAAGGUUAGAUGAUUUCAUAUACAUUUUCUUUUGAUUAUAUAGUUGAUUUGUGUAUAAAAUUUUCAGAAACAAAUGAACUAAUAUUACAAUUCUGUUUGCUUUUU